AAGGGAGACCUAAUUCGGGUAGAAGACGAAAAAAUAGUAGUCGAAACCAAGAAUCAACCCCAAAAGGUCGGAACGAGGUAUGUGGCUUUCAAACUAGGUUCUGGGUUCACAAAAGACCUGAAUCAGGAACAAGGGCUAUUAGCUCAGGUGGUUAGAGCGCACCCCUGAUAAGGGUGAGGUCCCUGGUUCGAGUCCAGGAUGGCCCACCUGCACAGGUGGCAAAAACAAGAGAAACGAGGAAUCAGCACCUUAUCUUACUUACAUAGUAAGAGAGAAUGCUGGCUCUGAGUAAAGAGUCCAGAGGAACCUUGAAAACUGCAUAGAGCUAGGUGGAAAAGCCAAAAAAGAAGACCGCAA
rnacentral:tRNA from 1 species